rnacentral:lncRNA from 1 species
AGGAAGUUGAAGCAGAGGAAGAAGGAAAUUGAAGGAACGGAUACAAGCAGCACAUAAGAUUGGUUUUAAUUUCUUCCUUUGUUGAUUGAUUUCUAUUUUACUAUGUGUAGCUAAAUUCUUGAUUGGUCCUAGGGGAUUCUAAUUGUUAUUUUUCUUGAACAAUGUGAUUAUCAUAUGAUAUGAUCAAUGAAUUACGAAGUUAGUUUCUUCAAUUAUUCCUUGUGCUUAAUGCCUUGCAUGACUUGAUCAAUUGUGUAAUGAUUUCAAUUAUUUGUUUUACUAUGACGAUAGGAAUGAAUGAUCGAUCUAGGAAUGAUUGAUCAAUUAACUUUCACUAAGACAUUUCGGAUUGUUAAUUGAGAUUAAAAGAUUAAAGUUUGUAAACCUCAAUUGAUCAUAGAUUACCUAAGACAUUAGGAAUCGAUUAUCAAGAGAGAGGAUUAUGUUACCAAGACAUUGGGCAUAAUCAUUUUUGAUUUAAUCUAAUCGUGAAACUGAAUUGAGUAAUUUGUAAUCAUACAUGAAAUUACC